rnacentral:rRNA from 1 species
GACGUAGGGCGCGAGCGUUGUCCGGAAUUAUUGGGCGUAAAGAGCUCGUAGGCGGUUUGUCGCGUCUGCUGUGAAAAUCCAGGGCUUAACCCUGGACCUGCAGUGGGUACGGGCAGACUAGAGUGCGGUAGGGGAGAUCGGAAUUCCUGGUGUAGUAGUGAAAUACGUAGAUAUCAGGAGGAAUACCGGCGGCGAAGGCGCCUACCUGGCAGUACAUUGACGCUGAGGCGCGAAAGCGUGGGGAGCAAACAGG